rnacentral:rRNA from 1 species
GAGUAACACGUGGGUAACCUGCCUUAUAGUGGGGGAUAGCCUUUCGAAAGGAAGAUUAAUACCGCAUAAGAUUGUAGUAUCGCGUGAUAUAGCAAUUAAAGGAGCAAUUCGCUAUAAGAUGGACCCGCGUCGCAUUAGCUAGUUGGUGAGGUAAUGGCUCACCAAGGCGACGAUGCGUAGCCGACCUGAGAGGGUGAACGGCCACAUUGGGACUGAGACACGGCCCAGACUCCUACGGGAGGCAGCAUG